UCUCACCCCUUGUGCAUCACCGCGUGGGUCCCCCUUUGCCGGAGGGCCCGCGUCUUUACACAAAACUCGAUACAGUGUAGAACGUUUAUUUUCGCGCUCGCACGCGAUCAAUAAUACAACUUUCAACAACGGAUCUCUUGGCUCUCGCAUCGAUGAAGAACGCAGCGAAAUGCGAUACGUAAUGUGAAUUGCAGAAUUCAGUGAAUCAUCGAAUCUUUGAACGCACCUUGCGCCCCUUGGCAUUCCGAGGGGCACACCCGUUUGAGUGUCGUGAAAUCUUCAAAAACCCUCUCUUUCGAGGGGGAUUUUUGGACUUGGAGGUUCGAUGCUCGCUUUCGCCUUUUAGAAAGCGAGCUCCUCUCAAAUGAAUCAGUGGGGNCUGCUUUGNCGGNCCUUGACGUGAUAAGAUCUUUCUACGUUUCGGACUCGACAUCGUCCCGCUCCCAAUCGUCCCCA
rnacentral:rRNA from 1 species